CAGUGUGGUUUGCCUUGGAUAUCUCGCUUGUGAGCAGUUUCAUCAAGACAAGGCAGUCAACACUCGGGCUACCCAUACCCAACCGUUUCAGAGAAUGGUUGCAGAACAACUUAUCGGUGUCAGAUUAUAGCACGCGUAUAAGGAAAUCAAAGCAAACAAGCGACAUUGCUGAACUUGACCCCUUUGGCUCGGUGCAGUGCAGAGUCAGCUUGCCCAAGACUUAGCUCCAGAAACACCGUGGAAAGUAAUAAACAACUCAAAGUCUAGUACAAGAAAGCGCCGUUUAGAUCAAUCAGACCGAUGUUAUUGCAUUGCAUCAGAAACUCCUCAAGACUUUGUUGUCGUUUCGUUAAUCUCAUGGUGUGAUUAUACUGUAGUUGUUUCCCGUGACAUAUUUUGGGAUUUUUUGGCAAGAUAAUCGUUACACUCAAAUGCGUUGAUUUAUGUUUUGGUUUAUUUCUUUCCUUCAUGUACAUGCGUUAUUUGUUGAUAUAGAGGAUUACUACCUAACAAUGAAUCAUAUCAUUAUUGAUGAUCGUCAUGUUUGAUUUAAUCCAUAUGUUUUCCCUAUAUUCCUAUGAUGUAAAUAAAUUAAUGAAAUUCAAUCUAAUAUGUAACCAUUUUAUAACCUUGAUGUAAAAAUGAUUGUAAAUCCGUAUUUGGAUUUUAUUCAUAUAACUUAAGUAUACAUUUAUAUGGAAAAUGAA